CGCGCCUAAACAAGGUUGGCGAGUUGGGUGCUGUCUUAUCGUACGAUGUGGAUGGUUUUUUGCACUUAUUUCCAAUUGUUUGCGCGAAGAGGACGCAUCGUUUCGAAACUUCCGACUGGUGGUGUGUUCAUUCCUCCUGCACUGUUGAUCCUGUACUCUUGAGUUCCUGUUCCUCUGUGCGCUGCAAAAAGUCGAUACCGCCCUCACCCCGCCAGCAACCAUGUCUGAUAAGGUCCGUGUGUGCAUCGUCGGUUCCGGAAACUGGGGAUCGGCCAUCGCCAAGAUCGUGGGCGCCAAUGCCAAGCGGCUGGCCACGUUCGAGGACCGCGUCACGAUGUACGUGUACGAGGAGAUGAUCGAUGGCAAGAAGCUAACGGAAAUCAUCAACACGACGCACGAGAACGUCAAGUAUCUGCCUGGACACAAGCUGCCCGAGAACGUCGUCGCCGUUCCGGAUGUGGUGGAAGCUGCCAAGGAUGCCGACAUUCUGAUCUUUGUCGUGCCGCACCAGUUUAUCCGUGGACUGGGCACGCAGCUGCUGGGCAAAAUCAAGCCGACGGCCGUCGGUCUGUCCCUGAUCAAGGGCUUCGAUGUUGCCGAGGGCGGUGGCAUGGAGCUGAUCUCGCACCUGAUCACCAAGCAUCUGAAGAUCCCGUGCUCGGUGCUGAUGGGCGCCAAUCUGGCCGGUGAGGUAGCGGAGGAGAAGUUCUGCGAGACGACCAUCGGCUGCCGGGACAUGAAGAUUGCGCAAACCCUGCGCGAUCUCUUCCUGACGCCAAACUUCCGCGUGGUCGUGGUGGACGAUGUCGAUGCGGUCGAGAUCUGCGGUGCGCUCAAGAACAUUGUGGCUUGCGGUGCCGGAUUCGUCGAUGGCAUGGGACUGGGCGACAACACGAAGGCGGCCGUCAUUCGGUUAGGUCUGAUGGAGAUGAUCAAGUUCGUGGAUGUGUUCUACCCGGGUAGCAAGCUGUCGACGUUCUUCGAGAGCUGCGGCGUUGCUGAUCUCAUCACUACGUGUUACGGUGGCCGUAACCGUAAGGUGUCGGAAGCGUUCGUGAAGACGGGCAAAACGAUCGUAGAGCUGGAGAACGAGAUGCUCAAUGGACAGAAGCUGCAGGGCCCGAUCACUGCCGAGGAGGUGAACUUUAUGCUGAAGAGCAAAGGCAUGGAGGAUAAAUUCCCACUAUUUACCGCCAUCCACAAGAUCUGCACCGGUGCGGUGAAGCCACAAGGAUUCCUGGACUGUCUGCGCAACCACCCGGAGCACAUGACACCAUGGGCAAAGCUCUAGAGAAAUGUCGCACUUGUUGUUACUCAAGCCAAACCAUUUCUCUGUAACAAUAAUAACAAUCACACACACCACCACCACCCAAUAGCAAUCGAUCGCAAUUUUCGCGUGUAGUAGCUAAUCACAAUUCCUUCCCCCAUUUGAUUCUUGUGUCAGUCAGGCAAGAUCAGUCAGGGAUCACAAUCAGAUCUCACAACAUAGCUAAAGGAUAACGCUACUACUAUUACUACUACUACUACUACCGCUACUACUACUUACCCUUACCUUCCAAAACACGGCUCAGAAGGUUGUGAAAUUUGCAUUUAUUUUGAGUUGGCAAAAGCAAACGAUUUUGCUGAUAAUACCAAAUAUCGAGCCAAGCUAACACAUUCCCUGUUUUUAGAAACAUUUUAUGAUAUUAUUUUCUAUGUUUAUUUUCUACCUAACAGUAAGCGUUAAAGUGUUUCUUUUAGACUGGUUUGUUUUGUUUCUGUAAUGAGAUUAAAAUUACCAAAAAUUUUAAUUUUUUUUUACAAUAUUGCUUCCACAAGGAUAGCUGUUGGGGCAGUGGGUUUGAAAUUGGCGACUAGUGGGGCUUUUGCUAUUCAUCAUUUUCCAAUACGUUUAGAUAGGUCAAGAGAGAGAGAGAGAGGUGUGCGAGUUGUUAAACCAAUCCAAAACGUCCAUCCAUCGUCGCCGAAAUUGGUUUUAGUGUUACAAAACAAAAACAAUCCUGCAUGAUAUGUGAUACGAAAGCUGAUUUGAAAGUGAAUAAACAUCAACAGUUAUUGGGACAUUCGAUUGGUAUUCAAUUGUUGAGAAAUGCAAAACAAAUCAAAAGAUGUGAGGGACCAAAUUCACUUUUUCUCUCAUAACAUAAAACCCCCCUGUGUAAUUCCCGUGUCGUAUGUAAUUGUCCAUUCCUUCUGGUUCUUCUGUUGUCCUGUUUCUACUGUUUUGUUUUUGGACAUAAUUUCCAUUGCGUUUAUCGUUCACAUCUUCGUGCUCAUCCGUCCAUCAUACAUCUGCACCGAAUGAAACCGUUUCCCGUAGACCGCCCUGUGUUUCCCCCUUACGUGUAUGCUCUCCAAUUGGCGAACCAUCAUAGCUGUUUCUUGCACCCUAAUUGUGUUAAGCAACAAAUUCGCUAGUUUUGUAACGUGAACUAAUUGUGUUUUUUCCUUUGGACCUCUGUUCCGCUCGAAUCACGUCCCGGUGAAAGGCAAAAGUUUUCCUAAAUCCACCGUGAUACGCUAGUACGAUCGGGAGCAACUACUAAACGCGCGUCGCGUCGUGCAUCGAACAGCACCCCGGCGCUGAUAUAAUUAAACUAUCUGACAUUAGAAGAUGUUGCAAAACUUCCUCCGACCCGAUCACCCCAUGAAACAGGAAACACGUGGCGUGAAAAUUCAUUGCCACCCACCCCUCCCUCUCGCCCUCGUCCCUCGUGGAAAUGAAAAUCGAAUCUUAGGUGAAGCGAAUUUUAGAACUUUCUAUUUGAUAAAUGUUGUUAUAGCAAAAUGGUUGAAGGCCGCUGUACAUAGGACGUAAUAAAUUCGAAAAAUGUAGACAUCGCGAAUAGA